CGACCCUUCCUGUUCAGAAAAAAAAAAUUGAUCGUUUCUUUCUGAACAGAGGCUAUCUCUGUCCUCAACCUCCUCUCUAUUUACCACAACUCCAGACAUAAAGACCGAACAGUGGAAGCGAAUCAACUAAGCAAGAUCUUGAGUCAAUAACACUUAAGAUCCGAGUGAAGGUGCAGGAUCGUCGUCGUUUCCGGAGCUGGCGAGUGUGAUUCAGAAUUUAGCAGAGGUGUACGGCAGGAUCAAAGGUUCAAAGCAAAGGAUGGUGAAACAGAGGAAGGGAGAUGCAAAGGGGCUUAAGUUGCAACAAAUAAACAUGUCGGUGGAUAUGAGAUGGAGCUUCAAAGAUCGAAGCUUGGCUAACGUAUAGCUGCUGCCAAAGCUAAAGACCAAUUGUGUAUAAGAUGAGGAAGUGAUGCACAGAAAAGCUUAGGUUUUGGUAGAAGGACACAGAAAAUGAGAACCAUCAGUUCAGAAUAAUAGCAAAGAAACAAAAAUAUGGUAAGUAAUUGUUUUGACAAAAAUAUUGGUUGUAUGCGUACAUAUCGUUUUGCUAUAUUGUUUUGAUAAUUUAUAGAAUAAAUUAUAUACUGAUAUCAGCUUUUAAACUGUCUUACUGAGCUAUUGGACGUUCUGAGAACCAAGCUUUCGGAAUCAAGGUGCAAAUGUAAACAUCAACAUUGCGGAAGAAAAUAAACAUCACUCCGUUUGACCAGCAAGGCAAAAGGAAGCGUGAAGGGAGAGUUGCCUUUAAUUCAAAUUGGGUUAUAUCGGUUUAUUUUAAAUUGGGAAUGCACCGGUUUAGUAAUGUAAAUAAACAAAAUCGAUGUGUCAUGAAGUUAAUGAAACGGCAUAGUAUAAGGGCAAUGGCAUGAGAUUGUAAAUAUGAAUGACUAAAGCCUUGAAAUGGUUCUGUAAUUAUCACAAAAAUUAAAUGGCUUAAGUUCA